rfam:Ricinus communis cultivar Hale ctg_1100012360617, whole genome shotgun sequence.
AGUCCAUGGUGUGGGUAGCACCACAGUAAGUCCUUGUACCUCUCCUAGGUGUCGUACAUUGAAUCAUCAUCAAACUGCAUAAAAGAAGAUAUGUCAUUUCUAAUUUU